GGAGGGAACCUGAAGUCCUCACACGAGGGGAAGCGCAGGAGUGUAGACUGGCAAGGGAACGGGGCCUGGGCCGUGACCUCACAGAACCAGGCCUGCUCCAGAAGAGCGCCCAGUCAUCCCUCCCAGGCUACCCAAGUUCAAUGCCGAUGGAUGAGAAAGAGGAGGAUGACGAUGAGGAAACCUGGCUGCAGCUUCGGCCGGUGGAGCCCUUGCCCUCCCAGUGCUGCGGCAGCGGCUGCUCACCCUGUGUGUUCGACCUCUAUCAGCGAGACCUGGCAAGGUGGGAGGCAGCCCGAGCCAGCAAAGACAGAGGCCUGCUGAGAGGGAAGGAGUCCCAGAGCUGCCCCUCCAAGCUUAACCCAGAGACCUUCCUGGCCUUCCACAUCAGCGCCAUGGACAAACUCACUAAGGACACCUACCGUAUCCAGUUUGCACUACCCGGGAACAGCCAGCUCAGCCUGCGGCCUGGCCAGCACCUCAUCCUACGAGGGAUAGUUGAUGACUUAGAAAUUCAGAGAGCUUAUACGCCCAUCAGUCCUGCCAACGCAGAAGGAUACUUUGAAGUUUUAAUCAAGUGCUACCAGACUGGGCUCAUGUCCCGCUAUGUCGAGUCCUGGAGAGCAGGGGACACAGCUUUCUGGCGAGGACCUUUCGGAGCCUUCUUCUACAAACCAAACCAGUACGGUGAGCUCCUCAUGCUGGCUGCGGGCACCGGCCUGGCCCCCAUGGUGCCCAUCCUGCACAGCAUCACAGACAAUGCAGAUGAUGAGACCUUUGUCACCCUGGUCUGCUGCUUCAAGACCUUUGAGGACAUCUACCUGAAAACCUUCCUCCAGGAACAGGCCCGUUUCUGGAACGUCCGCACCUUCUUUGUGCUCAGCCAGGAGAGCUCCCUGGAGCAGCUUCCCUGGAGUUACCGGGAGAAAACCCGCUUUGGCCGCCUGGCCCAGGACCUGAUUGAGGAGCUGGUCGGCUCCUGUCGGAGAAGGCCGUUUGCGUUGGUCUGUGGCUCGGCCGAGUUUACGAAGGACAUGGCCAGGUGCUUGCUACGUGCCGGCCUGACGGAGGACUCCUACUUCCUCUUCUAGGCCUGGACUCCCUGGCAAAGCCCAGGCCAGGGGCCUGCCAUUGGGACAUAGGAAGGAGCGCAGACUAGAAUCAGAAGUCGUGGACCACCACUCAUUUGCCAGAUACUCCUGGAGGGCCCAUUAUGAGCCAGACUUUGUUCUAGGCACCAAGGAGACAACAGUGAACAAGACAGGUGCAGUUCCGGUAAGCUCCACUGGGGAGCUUACAGCCCGAAAAGGAGGGCAGAAAUUAAACUGGUAAUUCUGAACGGGAUGGGUGUUCUAGCAAGGGGAUUAUGGAGAGUGGACGGCAAGCGUUUUUAGCCUCUCCUAGGAGAGGGCCAGGAACACGUCACUGCACUGAGGGUAGAGGCUUGAAAGGCAACAUCCUUACUCAUAAGGGUGGUAGGGGGUCCCCACUGAAGGGGUGGGAACCUGGGGCAGUUCUUCUGUGUCUGUUUUUGUCCCCUUUUACAAUAGAUACUGGAUGUUUAGAUAGUAUACUGGGUCACCCAGUGGUAACCAACAGCCUCUCUUAUCCUAAUGUUGUCCUCUCCUUCCCCUCAACCCAUGUGGGAUCUGUGCGGCCUGGACACUGGUGGGGUCUCUUAUGGCACAUUGGUGGGGACCCAGCCAUGCCCUUGGUGCCAAGGUGCCAAAGGGCUCAUAUCACCUGGAAACUCGAGAGCUCACAGCGGAGUACCAUGCCUCACAAGAUGCCAUUGCUGCCAUCUCUCCUGCUAAUGUCCCCGCCACAUGUCGUGGGAGGUAUGCUGUCGGUGAUGGUAGCAGAAACGACAGCUGCCUUGCUCCAGCCCCCGUGUUUUCCCUAUGCCCCUUGAGCAGUCCCCUCACUGGUGUCCCAGCCUCCAGCCUCUUCCCCCACACGCCUUUACACACUGCAACCAGACUGAUGAUUUUUUUAUCGUGGUAAGAACACUUAACAUGAGAUCUACCCUCUUAACACAUCUUUAAGUGUACAGUGCAUCGUUGUUGACUGUAGGUGCAUUGUUGUACAGAUCUCCAGAGCUUAUUCAUACCACUUUUUCUGACAUGCAGAUCUGAGCCCGUCACUCCCUUGCUUAAGAUCCUUCAGUGGCUCCCUGCUGCCCUCAGGAUACAGCCUGUCAGCUUUGUUUACCUUUCCAGACUUAUUUUAUGUUACUGACCCCUUGCCCCCAACUCUUACGUUCCAAACGUGUCCCCUUGUGUCAGUCAACUCCUUCACAUUUGUUGCUCCCUCUGCCUGGGUCCUGCCACGCUCCUGUCUCCCCCUCGCCCUCGCCUCCUUGUCUUUUGAGGGCUUUGCUGAGUGUCACUUCCUCUUGGAAGCCUUGCCUGCCUCUGCCACUCCAGGCUCGAUUAGUGAGCAGCCUUGUGCGUUCUUCUGUUGCUGCGCCUCUCACACUGUCUUGUUUGCAUGUGAGCACAUCUAGGGCCCCAUACCGAGGCCUGCUCAUUGUGUCCCCAGGUGGGAGGAGGGUACUCAGUACAUCCUGGGUAUAAUAAACGACUAAUACUCAUGGAGUCCUUUACAAGUUGCAAAGUGCUUUUCAUCUAAAUUGAAGCAAUAGUCAUCACCCAAAUGAUGCUAUUUUAUUACCCCAAUUUACUGAUGAGGAAAGUAAACUUCUAAGACAUUAAGCAGUUCUCCAAGGUCAUGUAGGGGUACACAAAUUCCAUCCAGCGUGCGGCAGUUACCAAGGUCAUAUGGGACACAUGAGUGCACCAGGAGAUGUGUAUGAAGAUUUGCAUUGCUGCACUGUUUGAAACAGCAAAGAAUAAAAACUACCUCUAUGUCCAUCAUUUAGAGAAAUGCACGGUUCUAUAGAGAUCCCUGCAGCAGAAUACCACGCAGCACUUAAAGUGAAUGAACCAGGUCUACAUGUAUCAACAUAGACUGAAUCCUAAAAACAUAAUAAUUGAGUGAAAAGCAACUGUAAAAGGAAAGGUACAGUGAGAUACCCAUAUUUGGAAAGUUGAAAAAACAACACCAAAUGCUCAGGAAGGAGAUCCACCAACUUCAAAGACAGUGGUGACCUCUGGGGACAGAGGGAAGGGUAUAGGAUAGAGUGGGGUGGGGGACUUUCAUCUGUGUCACUUUAUUAUAAAAAUACUAAUAUUUGAAAUAAAUAUGGCAGAAUAUGAACAUUGGUGAAUCUGGGUGAUGAGUUCACUGACUCUGCUUUAUUAUGUUCUACCUUUUUUGUGUUUGAAAUAGUUCCAUAAUUAAAACAUUUUAAAAUAAGAUUAAAUAUGCCUACUCAAAGUGCUUCGGAAACUAGAGGCUUGAAAACAUUCAUUUCCCCUCCCCCACCCCAGGAUAGGCUAUGGCCCUUUAUGCCUCCAAGCUUUUCAUUCUCUCA